rnacentral:rRNA from 1 species
CCUACGGGGGGCAGCAGUGGGGAAUAUUGGUCAAUGGGGGGAACCCUGAUCCAGCGACGCCGCGUGAGUGAAGAAGUAUUUCGGUAUGUAAAGCUCUAUCAGCAGGGAAGAAAGAAAUGACGGUACCUGACUACGAAGCCUCGGCUAACUACGUGCCAGCAGCCGCGGCAAUACGUAGGGGGCAAGCGUUAUGCGGAUUUACUGGGUGUAAAGGGAGCGUAGACGGUUACGCAAGUCUGGAGUGAAAGGCGGGGGCCGAACCCCCGGACUGCUUUGGAAACUGUAUAACUGGAGUGCAGGAGAGGUAAGUGGAAUUCCUAGUGUAGCGGUGAAAUGCGUAGAUAUUAGGAGGAACACCAGUGGCGAAGGCAGCUUACUGGACUGUAACUGACGUUGAGGCACGAAAGCGUGGGGAGCAAACAGGAUUAGAUACCCGUGUAGUC